AUUGAACGCUGGCGGCAGGCCUAACACAUGCAAGUCGAGCGAGUGGCGGACGGGUGAGUAAUGUCUGGGAAUCUGCCCGAUAGAGGGGGAUAACUACUGGAAACGGUAGCUAAUACCGCAUACUAUCGGAUGUACCCAUAUGGGAUUAGCUAGUAGGUGGGGUAACGGCUCACCUAGACGACGAUCCCUAGCUGGUCUGAGAGGAUGAACAGCCACACUGGGACUGAGACACGGUCCAGACUCCUACGGGAGGCAGCAGUGGGGAAUAUUGCACAAUGGGCGCAAGCCUGAUGCAGCCAUGCCGCGUGUAUGAAGAAGGCCUUAGGGUUGUAAAGUACUUUCAGCGGGGAGGCGUUACCCGCAGAAGAAGCACCGGCUAACUCCGUGCCAGCCGCCGCGGUAAUAC
rnacentral:rRNA from 1 species